UAAAGUAUUUUGAAUUUUACGAUGGGGUUCUAGUGUCAGCGAGUUCAUGUCCGUUCAACAAGUUGACUUUGUUACCCUGCAUGCUAGCUGUACCAAGGGUAUAUCUAAGCUUGACUGUAAUAUGGUUGUGAUCCUUACAUUGUUGUAAUAUACUUAGGUAAAACGGAUGGCUUAAAAUAACAAUCCUUGCACUUACAAAUGUCAAAGAAAAAUUAAAACAAUAGACGGAAAUGGUAUUUCUAAGAUGAAUAAUUAGGUUUAUAGUUUAGCACAUCAUAUCAGAUAGCUUUUUCAUUCUUUGUUUGAUACUUAGGGAACCAGCACUCUUCUCUUCUUCUUCUUCUUCUUCCACUGGAGUUUUGUAUGCAAAAUCAGUUUCCAAAU